GUGCCGAGAUGAAGCAGUUAUCCUUUCGAAAGAUAAGAUAGGCCAAUAGUAGGGAUAUGAUAGGCCAAGCAAGCAACUCCGACGAAGGGGCAAGCGGACAUACCUGAGUGCAAUUCCAAAUUGAGUGAAUAGUUUGAGUAGCCAGCUGCAGGGCUUGUUUGAUUCUCCGUUAGUGCUGAGGAAGCUAGUCCUUCUUUUGGUGUUCGAGUUUGUGUAGUUCGGCUUGUCUGCUUUCCUGCUUGUCUGCUUGGCCGGUCGUUAUUCGUUGCUUGUUUAGUGGUGCCUCAAUUCGUUCUUCAGCCGUAAGCAAAGCAAUGUCAUCGUAUCCCCAGAAGCGUUGAUUAAGUGGAAAGUGAGCUAGCUCCACGAUAGAGUAUCAUUGUUUGCGAGUUGCCUUGCUUAUUCAUAGGAACGACAACUAAAGUCAUAGGACCGACAACUAAAGCACAGAACCUUACUCAGGAACUCACGUUAGCACUUCAGAAGAACAAAGAAGAGAAUUGAGGUGCGUAUAUAACUGUAAGCAAGUAAACUAACAGCUUUUCCUCCUUUCAAGACAAGACUCAGCUACGCUAAUGCACCAGCACCCUGGAAAGUAACAAAGACAUGUUUGCUCGAAGGGAAGAAUCACACUCACUAUAUCCGCGAACCGAGAAAAACUGGAACUAACAUAACUCCGUUAGCUAUAAGUCACUCGCGUUAGCGCAACUGCUUCCAGCUUUCAUGGUCCUCUCUUUAUGCCCUUGUUGACUUUCUUUUAUUCUUUGCCUGUUUCAAAUAAUCUACCUAGCAACUACAAUAUGGAUCUACCUAACAAAACGGAACUGCCAACUCUGCGGUAACCAAACGGAAACCAUAGUGAAUUGCUUCAAAUCAAACAAUCGUUAGCUUCAGUCUUAUAUGAUAUAGAUAAGUGUGGAAUCUCACUCCUGUGUGGAAUCCUAACUCCCGACUGCUUACUUAACUUAGCGGUAACCUCAGUCUAAACUAACUUAUUGCUUUGCUUCCUUUAGAACUAAGGCUUUCGAUCCACCCCCCCUUGCCUUGUUUGUUUGACUUGGUUAGAAACUAAGUUAGCACCCCGCUCGCUCCGUGGGUAAAUAAGCUAAUGCGCCUUGCUUGUUUCAUUUUGAUAUGAAUGCAAAGAUUCCUGACUAAUAUACUACGCCUCACUGCUUGUUGAAACCUAACUCCUUAAGCACGCACAACACUUUAAGCAAACUUGUUCCCUAGCUUGUUCAGCUAUCUACCUAUUGCUUGUUUAAUCAAAUAUGCACAUCCUAAUAUAGAAUCAAGUCACUUUACAGCCUAUUAGAUAAUGGACUCUCUGAAGAAUAAGGAAUUGGAUCUAGCUAUCCACAAUCAUAUGAUUUUAUGAAAGUGGAGAGUUUAGAGAAGAGAUAUGAGUAUAAUCAACAGACGCAUCAGAACGGAAAUGGAGAAAAUGUUAGUUAUGACUUGACUCAGGACGUAUAGGAAGCAAUAAUGGAUUAACAGAACCCCGUACUAUUCUCUUUCAAUGGCAAAGCCCGUUUUUUGCUAGGGGAUAGAAGCCAAGCUUGGUGGACGAAGCCCCCAUGUAGGGAUCGAUCAUUCUGGGCAAAUAUCUGAGGGAUCGAUCAUUCUGGGCUAAUAUAUUAUAAGAGAUAUUCGGCAUUCCAUACACAAUGUAUUAAUGCCCUAGUUGGAUUGAUUUCAUGAUUCAAAACCUGGGCUUCUUUCUUUUUCGUAUACCGAUAGUAAUCUUUUUCCGAAGCCCUAUAUUACCCCCUAGAUUAUUAAUGUCAAGCGAUUAUUAAUGUCAAGCGCGAAGAGGACAGGACCUACCUCAUUCUAAAGUUCACCAUUAUAAGAGGACAGGACCUACCUCAUUCUAAAGUUCACCAUUAUAUAUAUGUCAUUGAUCUUCUCUUUAGUUAAUCUGGAAGAAGGGCUCAUUCAUGUACAAUCCAGAGCGAGAAGGCAAGAAUAACAUCUCUUUUUUCACAUGGUAUUUCUAGGAAUAAGUAACUUCCACGAUCUUUGAGGAAAGGGUUGUAAUCUCUUCUUUAGAGUUGAAGCGAAUGAGUUUAAUGAUGAGGAAGAAUCUGUCUUCACGCAAAAAGCCUAUACUGUAGGUCGAGAGUGUUUUCCCUACCUCUCCCAUAGGUCGACUCCCGUUAGCACCCCAAGAAAUAAGCUCAAAGCGGUAGUGCGCCGAGCAAAGGCCAUUUUCAUAGUUCAUAUUUCUCCCUUUGGUUUUCCAAAGAGUCUUGCCUAAAGCAGGCCAUUCUCCUCGUUUCCGAGAGAUAGGAAGUACUAGCUUACAUGGACCCUCAAGUUCUCUUUCACUACUUUAGCUCAACAAUCGAAUAAGCACUAACGAGAACUCUAUAUGCUCAUACCAAGGCGCCGUGGUCUUUCUAAUGUCAAGAAUCAAUCAAAUCACAGAUCAUGAGAACUCUUUUUUCCACACAACGACUAAUCCUGAAAGACGACUCUUUCGUUUAAGGAGAAUUCCAAAAUACAGAAAUUGGAUUCGGAGAAAAUGAGGAUACCUGAAACACAAGGCCCGAUGGAAUUGAGCUUCUGCUGUCCCUACUAGUUCCGAUUGCUUUCUUGACUUCUGGAGAAGCAGCUCCUGUACUAAUCAAUUCUUCGGCGGUAAGGAAUAAAAUGCAAUAGAAUGCUUUUCUCAUAGAUAUUUGGACUCCUCUACUACUAUCAACCUUUCUUUCUCUAUAUACUUAUAGAUAGAUCUCUAUAUACUUAUAGAUAGACACAUGCAAUUAAGCUUAUAGAUAGACACAUGCAAUUAAGUUCUGCAAGAAUCAAGUCAUUGUGGAAUAAGACCAGUCUGAACUGUAUUUCUAUUUUGAUAUGAGAAAUUGUAUAGGUGAGUUGUACCUUUCGAAGCCCUAGGAGGUUCAUUGGAUCUAGUUUCCCGGUUUUCUUUGUUCUUCCUUUCUUUGUUUUGCAUGCGGCGUAGUUAAGGGUAGAAAAGAAAAGAUGUUGUUCAAGCAGGGUUCAGGAGAGAAUAACCAGUGAGAAAGUAAUCUACGAGAGGAGAGAGGUCAAUAGUGGAACAGAGCUUAAAGGACUUUCAAGCAAAAGUAGGUUCAAUAACAAUUGCUUAAAGUCAAUCUUUAGUGGGUUCAAUAACAAUUGCUUAAAGUCAAUCUUUCCCAGGGCGCGUAGCGUAGUAAGGCUUUAUUAAAGAUUUGCUUUUCGAUGGUUAUCCCCAUCCUCCCUAUCUUGUGCAGCUUAUCCAUUUCGGCUUUCAGAGUAUAAUAUUUGAUGUGUCAGGGCUAUAAUGGAGUUUCUAAUGGUCCCUAUUGCUAUUGGUAAAGGCUAGUAUCUAAUAAUGUGGAUAAGGGCUCAUUCAUGUAAAAUCCAUAGAUAGUGGGAAGGAAAGAAGAAGCUUGAUUACAAUCCAUAGCUGGAAGGAAAGAAUCCAGUGUUUUUUAGUCCCUAUUGCUAACAACGUAUAUCGGGAUCCCGGUGCCUAAAUGAUCUUCCUUAGAGUCCAAAGUCCGGUCCCUAUUGCUAACAACGUAUAUUGGUCUUUACUCUUCUUUCUAUUCAAAGAACUCAAUAAGAAUGUUAGUUUCUUCAGUUGUGCUAACGGAGCUCAUUAAGGCUUGCUUACCGGAGCUGCCAGAUACUCUACUUGUUGACUUUUUGCAGUUAAAGUGCAGAGGGAUUCUGGCCCUGUCCCUGUGCCUAGGUACGAUAGACUAAAAAGCAAUAGGCAACUUAUUUGAAUCAUAUGUAUUUCGCCCGACGCCGAUAUAUUCCAUUCAGAUAGUUUUUAGUGCUGUGUUUUUACGUUGUUUCUAUGAUAUAUGGGUAUAGCUCUCGUCCGGAUAGGCAAAUAUACGGGUAUAGCUCUGUUCCGGCUAAUAUAUGGGUAUAGCUCUGUUCUGGUCUUGACUCAAUCAUUUUCAUAGCACCUAUCUUGACUCAAUCAUUUUCAUAGCACCUAUGAGAUAAGAGAAGUCGGAUACUAACCUUAACACUGCUCGCAGAAGUGCACAUAAUAAAAUAAAUAGAAAUGCACCUAUAAGAGAAGUCGGAUACUAACCUAACACAGCUAUUAUAUUACUUAAGUAAGAGUGGAAUGGAAUUGAGCGACCACAUAGUCAGUAUAGAAUUUCUGAAAGACAAGAGCAUUGCUUCAAACCUAAUAGAGGAAUUAAUAUGGGCAUAGAACAAUAAAUAGAGGAGCGUAGCGACAUAGAACAAUAAAUAGAGGCGCGUAGCUAAAUAGAAAAUGAGUUGUUAUGUUAGGUUAGUGAGUGAUCGGUAUAGAAUGGAUUGGUAAUAUGACUAAGAUAUCUAUGCUCAUGUUGUUUGUUUCUUUUUGAUUGAGCUGUUCUGCUCCUAAAACUUAGUAAGAUUCUUUAUUCAAGCUCGUUAUUUCCUUUUCUCGAUCAUCAUCCCCUUCUAUAAAGGAAUAGGUCGAUAUUAGAAGCUAUAAUAACUCGGUCCAAUCUACUUAGUAGUCCUUCUAUUCCAGUGGCUCCUCUCCUCAAAGUGAAAUCUCUUUUUGCUUGCUUUUUCAUAGCUAUGUUUCGUACCUUUGUGAUUCUACUUUCCUUCUUCUGGAAAUGACGAAUGUAAGGAUGGCCUAUAUAUGGCUAGCAGCAAUUUCCCUACUUACUCAUCAAACCCGCCUAUCGGCUAAGCCGCCUUUCCCAACUCAAAUGGGUUCUGCCUUUCCCUACAAUCUCUUUUGUUGGCCUAUCCGCCGGCCGGAUGUUCGGACAGAUGAUAAAGAUUCCCUGCCUCCCACUUACGCAAUUGGUCUGUUUAGCAUUCCCUAUUCAUCUAGGUGACUUUUAGAAGUCCGUAAAGAGAUAAGUCUGUAAAGAAUCUAUGUUCAAGUGUUAUUACCGAGUGCAAGCAUCUUUCUGGGAAGGGUUCGCUUACGGGAAAUCUAGAAAAGGAGUGAGAGUUACCUUUCCAUUCACCUCACUUAACCGACCAUGUAAAGGCCCUUGAUAAGGCUUCUUUAACGU
rnacentral:lncRNA from 1 species